AGCCAUGAUGAGGCCGAGGACACCCGACGAAAGGAUGAGGAAUCUUCGCUUCGCUGAGG
rnacentral:snoRNA from 15 species